rnacentral:rRNA from 1 species
GACGAACGCUGGCGGCGUGCCUAAUACAUGCAAGUCGAACGCUUCUUUUUCACCGAACUUCGGUUCAUCGAAAAAGAGGAGUGGCGAACGGGUGAGUAACACGUGGGUAACCUGCCCAUCAGAAGGGGAUAACACUUGGAAACAGGUGCUAAUACCGUAUAAUGCUUUUUCUCGCAUGAGAGCAAGCUGAAAGGCGCUUUUGCGUCACUGAUGGAUGGACCCGCGGUGCAUUAGCUAGUUGGUGAGGUAACGGCUCACCAAGGCCACGAUGCAUAGCCGACCUGAGAGGGUGAUCGGCCACACUGGGACUGAGACACGGCCCAGACUCCUACGGGAGGCAGCAGUAGGGAAUCUUCGGCAAUGGACGAAAGUCUGACCGAGCAACGCCGCGUGAGUGAAGAAGGUUUUCGGAUCGUAAAACUCUGUUGUUAGAGAAGAACAAGGAUGAGAGUAAAAUGUUCAUCCCUUGACGUAUCUAACCAGAAG